rnacentral:lncRNA from 1 species
UCAUUUGUACAUACAAAGUUUUAUGUACGCGCUUUCUUAUCAAAUCAUUUAUAUGUAUAAAUAAUAAUCUAAUUGUAUGUUAUUAUAUGUACGUAAUUAUAUGCAUACUUGUUAGUGUAUAUAUAUAUAUAUAUAUAUAUAUAUAUCAUUAGGCUAGUACAUUAUUUGAAAUAGAUACAUAAAUAUAUACAUGUACAGAUAGAUAUAUAACUACAUAUUGUACACGUUUUGUAAAAAAAAAAAAAAACUUGUAACAAAAAUGUAAGCACAAAUCAAUAUAAAUAAAAAAAAAAAAAAAAUUGUAUAUGAUUUUUUAUAUAAUUUAUGUCAGUUUUUUUAGAUAGAUGUUCAUGCAAGUGUACAUAAACAAGUCAUUUUUUUUUUUUUUUUUUUCUUUUUUUUUCUUUUUUUUGAAUAAAGGUUAUACAAGACACAGCUUUGUUCAUUUUAUGCAAAAGGAAUAUGUGCAAGAGGGAACAGAUGCAGUUGGGCUCAUGGGGAGCUGGAUGUUAGGCCUAUGCCUAAAUUUUACAAAGUAAUUUUUGUUCAUUUUGUUCAUUUUUUUAACAACCAUUUUAUAACUUAUAACUUGUUAUUGUAAACGAUCUCCAUUCUAAUACGUUUUUUUUUUUUUUUUUUUCAUGCAGACUAGAAUGUGUUACACGUUUUUAUCUGGUAGCUACUGUGAAGCCUCUAAAUGUACGUUCGCACACACAGAAGAAGAAUUAAGAGGUUCAGGAAAGGCUUUGAGAUUAUGUACAAAGUAUUUUUUAGAUGGCUACUGUAAUAAAGCUGACAAAUGUCCUAUGGCUCAUAACAUAAACCAACUAGACCCAUCAGUUAAAUUUUCAUCAACAGAAUUAAUGAGUAAGGUUUAUUCGAAUGAAGAUAAUGUAUAUUAUAAUAAUAAUCAUAAUAUUGAUGUGUCAAAGAAUGAUAAUAAGGAAAAUGAAGGUGAUGACCGUAAAAACAGUAGUAGAAGUAGUAGUACUCAUAAUAACUACAACAUACAUGGAGGACAUAGCAGCCACAGCUGUCAGAACACCCAUAACAGUCACAAUAAUAGUAAUAAUGGUGUAUUUGAAAUAACCAAUGAAUUGGAUGAUGUGAGCGUAAAAAAGCAUUUAAAGGAUUAUCACAUUAUGAACAAUUUGAAUAAUGAAAAUGAUAAAAACGAUAUUGAUGAUUCUAAAAAAAAUAGUUAUAAGAUUUAUAGAAAUUGUGAGAAAAAAAUGUAUAAAGAUUAUUUAUUAAACGAUAACCAGGCGAAUGACUACUUUGAUGAAAUAAAAAAGGGAAAUGG